CGUAGGGACCGAGCGUUGUCCGGAUUCAUUGGGCGUAAAGAGCUCGUAGGCGGCCACUCAAGUCGAAUGUGAAACCUCGAGGCUUAGCCUCGAGCCUGCAUUCGAUACUGGGCGGCUAGAGUCUGGUAGGGGGAUCUGGAAUUCCUGGUGUAGCGGUGGAAUGCGCAGAUAUCAGGAGGAACACCGGUGGCGAAGGCGGGAUCCUGGGCCAGUACUGACGCUGAGGAGCGAAAGCGUGGGGAGCAAACAGGAUUAGAUACCCUGGUAGUCCACGCCGUAAACGAUGGGCGCUAGGUGUGGGAGGUCAUCGACUCCUUCCGUGCCGCAGCUAACGCAUUAAGCGCCCCGCCUGGGGAGUACGGCCGCAAGGCUA
rnacentral:rRNA from 1 species